rnacentral:rRNA from 1 species
ACUGAGACACGGACCAGACUCCUACGGGAGGCAGCAGUGAGGAAUAUUGGUCAAUGGAGGAAACUCUGAACCAGCCACGCCGCGUGCAGGAAGAAUGCCUUACGGGUUGUAAACUGCUUUUGUUUAGGAAUAAAAAUUCUUACGUGAUAAGGAUUGUGAAUGUACUAUACGAAUAAGUGUCGGCAAACUCCGUGCCAGCAGCCGCGGUAAUACGGAGGACACGAGCGUUAUCCGGAUUUAUUGGGUUUAAAGGGUGCGUAGGCGGUUUAUUAAGUCAGUAGUGAAAUAUUGCGGCUUAACUGUUAAAAUGGCUAUUGAUACUGAUAGACUUGAGUGAGAUUGGAGUAGCUGGAAUGUGUGGUGUAGCGGUGAAAUGCAUAGAUAUCACACAGAACACCGAUCGCGAAAGCAGGUUACUAAGUCUAUACUGACGCUGAGGCACGAAAGCGUGGGGAGCAAACAGGAUUAGAUACCCUGGUAGUCCACGCCGUAAACGAUGAUCACUAGUUGUUGGAUUUAUUUCAGUGACUAAGCGAAAGUGAUAAGUGAUCCACCUGG